rnacentral:rRNA from 1 species
ACGACUCUCGGCAAUGGAUAUCUCAGCUCUAGCAUCGAUGAAGAAUGUUGCGAAAUGCGAUACUUGGUGUGAAUUGCAGAAUCCCGUGAACCAUCGAGUCUUUGAACGCAUGUUGAGUCCGAAGACAUUAGGCCGAGGGAACGUCUGCUUGGGCAUCACGCAUCGCGUCGCACCCUCGCAUCGUGCCUCAAUCAUGGGGCGCCCUGUCGUCGCGGGGCGGAUAUUGGCCUCCCAUGCGCCUUGAGCUCACGUCUGGCCUAAAUGCGAGUCCACGUCGACGGACGUCGCGGCAAGUGGUGGUUGCAACUCAACUCUCUUUGCCGUCGCGGCUACGGCCCAUCGUACGUCCGGAUUCCAGGACCCCUUCGCGCUCAGGCGCUCCGACCGUGACCCCAGGUCAGGCGGGAUUUCCCAUUGAGUUUAAGCAUAUCAAUAAGGGGAGGAAAAGAAACUUACAAGGAUUCCCUUAGUAACGGCGAGCAAAUCGGGAACAGCCCAGCCUUAGAAUCGGGGGGCUCCGUCGUCCGAAUUGUACUCUGGAGAAGCGUCCUCAGCGGUGGGCCGGGCCCAAGUCCCCUAGAACGGGGCGUCAAGGAGGAUGAGAGCCCCGUCGUGCCCGGACACUUUCGCACCAUAAGGCGCUGUCUACGAGUCGGGUUGUUUGGGAAUGCAGCCCAAAUCGGGUGGUGAAUUCCAUCCAAGGCUAAAUACAGGCGAGAGACCGAUAGCGAACAAGUACCGCGAGGGAAAGGACUUUGAAAAGAGAAUCAAAGAGUGCUUGAAAUUAUCGGGAGGGAAGCGGAUGGGGGUAGGCGAUGCACCCCAGUCGGAUGUAGAAUGGCGACGAGCCAGUACUUCGAUCGACCCGGGGCGUGGACCAUCGUUGAUUGGGGGGCGGCCAAAGCUCGAUCUCUCGAUACGCUCAUGGAAUGCCGUCUCCUCGAUUGUGGUAGGCAGCGCGCGCCUCCAGCAUGCUUCAGCAUCUGCGCGCUCCGGACGCUCGACUGUGGGCUCACCAUUCGACCCAUCUUGAAACACGGACCAAGAAGUUUGACAUGUGUGCGAGUCAACGGGCGAGUAAACCCGUAAGGCGCAAGGAAGCUGAUUGGUAGGAUCCCCCCGUGGGGUGCACCGCCGACCGACCUUGAUCUUCUGAGAAGGGUUCGAGUGUAAGCAUACCUGUCGGGACCCGAAAGAUGGUGAACUAUGCCUGAGCGGGGUGAAGCCAGAGGAAACUCUGGUGGAGGCCCGCAGCGAUACUGACGUGCAAAUCAUUCGUCUGACUUGGGUAUAGUGGCGAAAGACUAAUCGAACCGUCUAGUAGCUGGUUCCCUCCUAAGUUUCCCUCAGGAUAGCUGGAGCUCGCGUGCGAGUUCUAUCGGGUAAAUCCAAUAAUUAGAUGCCUCGGGGACGCAACGCCCUCGAACUAUUCUCAAACUUUAAAUAGGUAGGACGGCGCGAAUGCUUCGUUCAGCCGCGCCACGGAAUCAAGAGCUCCGAGUGGGCCAUUUUUGGUAAGCAGAACUGGCGAUGCGGGAUGAACCGAAAGACAGGUUACGGUGCCAAAAUGUGUGCUAACCAAGAUCCCAGAAAGGGUGUUGGUCGAUUAAGACAGCAGGACGGUGGUCAUGGAAGUCGAAAUCUGCUAAUGAGUGUGUAACAACUCACCUUACGAGUCAACUAGCCUCGAAAAUGGAUGGCGCUUAAGCACGCGACCUACACCCGGCCAUCAGGGCAAGUGCCAGGCCCCGAUGAGUAGGAGGGCAUGGCGGUUGCUGCAAAACCUUGGGUGCGAGCCCGGGCGGAGCGGCCGUCGGUGCAAAUUUUGGUGGUCUUAGCAAAUAUUCAAAUGAGAACUUUGAUGGCCGAAGAGGGGAAAGUUUCCAUGUAAACAACACUUGCACAUGGGUUAGUCUAUCCUAAGGGUCGGGAAAACCUCGACAGAUAACGCGUUUCACGCGAGCUUCGAAAGGGAAUUGGGUUAAAAUUCCUAAAUCGGGACAUGGCGGUCGACGGCAACGUUAGAAAGUCCGGAGACGUCGGCGGGAGCCUCAGGAAGAGUUAUCUUUUCUGUUUAACAGCCUGCCCACCCUGGAAUCGGCUCAGCUGGAGGUAGGGUCCAGCGGCUGGAAGAGCACCGCACGUCGCAUGGUGUCCGAUGCGCUCCUGGCGGCCCUUGAAAAUCCGGAGGACCGAAUGUCGUCCACACUCGGUCGUACUCAUAACCACAUCAGGUCUUCAAGGUGAACAGGCUCCGUAUCUUAUUUAAAACAAAGCAUUGCGAUGGUCCCAACGGAUGCUCACGCAAUGUGAUUUCUGCCCAGUGCUCUGAAUGUCAAAGUGAAGAAACUCAACCAAGCGCGGGUAAACGGCGGGAGUAACUAUGACUCUCUUAAGGUAGCCAAAUGCCUCGCAUAUAAUUAGUGACGCGCAUGAAUGAAUUAAUAAGAUUCCCACUGUCCCUGGCUACUAUCCAGCGAAACCACAACCAAGGGAACGGGCUUGGCAAAAACAGCGGGGAAACAAGACCCUGUUGAGCUUGACUCUAGUCCGACUUUGUGAAAUGACUUGAGAGGUGUAGUAUAAGUGGGAGACAAAAGGCAAAAGUGAAAUACCACUACUUUUAAUGUUAUUUUACUUAUUCCGUGAAUUGGAAGCGGGGCACUGCCCCUCUUUUUGGACACAAGGCUCGCUCUGUGGGCCGAUCCGGGUGGAAGACAUUGUCAGGUGGGGAGUUUGACUGGGGCGGCACAUCUAUUAAAAGAUAAUGCAGGUUUCCUAAGAUGAGCUCAACGAGAACAGAAAUCUCAUGUGGAACAGAAGGGUAAAAGCUUUUUUGAUUCUGAUUUCCAGUACGAAUACGAACCGUGAAAUCGUGGCCUAACGAUCCUUUAAACCUUCGGAAUUUGAAGCUAGAGGUGUCAUAAAAGUUACCACAGGGAUAACUGACUUGUGGAAGCCAAGCGUUCAUAGCGACGUUGCUUUUUGAUCCUUCGAUGUCGUCUCUUCCUAUCAUUGUGAAGCAGAAUUCACCAAGUGUUGGAUUGUUCACCCACCAAUAGGGAACGUGAGCUGGGUUUAGACCGUCGUGAGACAGGUUAGUUUUACCCUACUGAUGAUAGUGUUGCAAUAGUANUGUGAAAGUGUCACAAUAGUAAUUCAACCCAGUAAGAGAGGAACCGUUGAUUCAGACAAUUGGUCAUCGCGCUUGGUUGAAUAGCCAUUGGCGCUAAGCUACCGUGUACUGGAUUAUGACUGAACGCCUCUAAGUCAGAAUCAGGGCUAGAAGCGAUGCAUGGGCCCGCCGUCCGCUUGCCGACCCACAGUAGGGGCCUCGGCCCCCAAGGGCACGUGUUGUUGGCUAAGCCGACGCGGCGGAAGGGUCGUGGCAGCCGCCUUGAAAUACAAUUUUCAUCGAGCGGCGGGCAGAAUACUUUGCAGAUAACUAAAAUAUGCGACGGGGUAUCGUAAGUGGCAGAGUGGCCUUACU